CUAAAUGCAUUUAACAGAAAAGCCUUAUAAAUAACUAGGUAAAUAACAUAAAACAGUCGAAGAUGUAUAUUGGUUUGUUAUAAUAUUUAAAUGCCAAUUUUUUCAACUUUCUUCCUACCAUCUAUAGUUUUCUUUAGAGUGUGUAAAAUACAUAGCCGCGACUCUGCCGAAUGCCAAACUUUAUUACCUCACCUAUAUAAUAUUAUAGUUUUCGUCAACGUAACGAUGUUUUAUGGCAUAAACACUUUGA